rnacentral:rRNA from 1 species
GGGCUCACACAAGCGGUGGAGGAUGUGGCUUAAUUCGAGGAUACGCGAAGAACCUUACCUAGACUUAACAUGCUUGGGAACGUCUGUGAAAGCAGAAAGUGCCUUUCGGGGAGCCCUUGCGUAGGUGCUGCAUGGCUGUCGUCAGCUCGUGUCGUGAGAUGUCGGGUUAAGUCCCUUAACGAGCGAAACCCUUGUCCUUAGUUGCCAGCGAGUAAUGUCGGGGACUCUAAGGAGACUGCCGGUGUUAAACCGGGGGAAGGUGGGGAUGACGUCAAGUCCUCAUGGCCUUUAUGUCUAGGGCUGCACACGUCCUACAAUGCACUAUACAAAGCGACGCAAAAUCGUGAGAUCGAGCAAACCGCAUAAAGUAGUGCCCAGUUCGGAUUGCAGGCUGAAAUUCGCCUGCAUGAAGCCGGAAUCGCUAGUAAUCGCGGGUC